rnacentral:sRNA from 1 species
AUGUCUUCUUGGUGUUCAUCAGAAGAUGCUCAUAAUCAAUCUUCAACUCCUUCCACACGUUCCCGUAAAUCAUCUUGGCUUAUUUCAAAAAUUGAUGAAAAUGAGAUUGAUAAAGAAGUUCAAGAGAUGAUGGAUGAUUGGAGACGCAGCAAUGAAGCAGAAAACCACGUGGAAUGCAUAAAAGCUGCAUUGGAGUACUGUAGAGAUAAACUAAAGGAACUGCUCAUAGAUGAAGAAGAUACAGAAAUGGAUGGGAAAGAGACAAAGACGAAACCUAGUUGGUGUUUCCUAUUUUUAUGUAAAAAAUGUGCAAUAUUACAGUCAACAUUGUCUCUAACACAGAGUUCCCGGAGGAUCGUGAUGUUCUUGGAAAUCUUGUGAAUUGUCUUGAUAGGCAACAAAAAGCAGCUCGACAACAAAUGUAUUUCGACAAAAUUGUACAAUUGGGACUGGAGAGGCAGGCUUUGCAGG